rnacentral:rRNA from 1 species
GUAGGUGGCAAGCGUUGUCCGGAAUUAUUGGGCGUAAAGCGCGCGCAGGCGGUUCUUUAAGUCUGAUGUGAAAGCCCACGGCUCAACCGUGGAGGGUCAUUGGAAACUGGAGAACUUGAGUACAGAAGAGGAAAGCGGAAUUCCACGUGUAGCGGUGAAAUGCGUAGAGAUGUGGAGGAACACCAGUGGCGAAGGCGGCUUUCUGGUCUGUAACUGACGCUGGGGCGCGAAAGCGUGGGGAGCAAACAGGGAUUAGAUACCCUGGUAGUCCACGCCGUAAACGAUGAGUGCUAAGUGUUAGGGGGUUUCCCGCCCCUUAGCGCUGCAGCUAACGCAUUAAGCACUCCGCCUGGGGAGUACGGCCGCAAGGCUG